AUUAGUAACUGCAGCGCAGCCGCGCGCGCUCAGGUGAAGGUAACCGCCCCAGGCUUCUGGUCAGUCCCGGUCCGGUGUUGUUGAAAGGCUGAUGUGGGCCGCUGGUUCGCCGGAGGAGGCUGCUCGCUCAUUUCUCCCCCUUUUCCUGCCCGAAGCUUUUAUCUGCGAGGAGAUGUGAAGGUCCGUGGGAACAACAACAACAACAACAACAACAAAAAAAGCUUUCUACCCUGAGAAGGUGGAGAAGUCCGCAGAGAAGACAAGGGUUCCCAGUCGUGUGUGGGAUGUUAAGGGACUGGAGGUGCGUUGAGGCUGAGGGAGCAUGGUGAAACACCAACCCUUACAGGUCUACGAGAAGCAGGUUCUUCUGUCUUUGGUCACCGGGAUCUACGGCUGCCGCUGGAAACGCUACCAGCGUUCCCAAGACGAGAGCUCCAAGUGGGAGUGUGCAUGGUUCACCAUCUUGAGUAGUUCCUUCCUUCUCCUUCUCUUUUGGACCUAUUUUUGGUUGGUGGCUCAGAAUGAUUUCAAUGACUUCAACUGGUCGGUGUACAAUCAUUCUGGGGAGUGGAGGGAUGAGACCAUUCCCAUCGUCACCUCCACCACUUUGGGAUUCAUCUAUAUCACAUUCCUCCUGAUUUUGGCACUUUUCCAUAUCUCCUUGGGUCAGCAGCUCAAUCUCUACUGGGUUCACAAGAUUGGAGUACUGGCCACUCUACUCACCAUCGUCUCUGGUUUUGUCUCCGUCGAUGACGUCUGGGGAGACGAGUGGGAAAUUAUUCAUGUUUCACUUCAGUUCACUGCUCCUUUCCUGCACAUCGGAGGCCUGGUCACAAUCACAGCUGUGAGCUGGUUGGUAGCUGGCUAUGUGGUCCGCAAAGAGAGAUCCAAUUUCCAGGUGAUGGUGUUGGCAAUCUACAGCCUAGUCCUCCUGGCUCUUUGCCUUGCACCUCUUACCUUCACCUGCCCCUGCAUUAUGGACCGCCAUGUCCUCAAACCACCACCAGUCAUCAUUGGCCGACGGGGAGCUCCUAUGCUGGCCCCUGAAAACACCAUGAUGUCCUUCACCAGAGCCCUGCAGCACGGAGCCAGCGCUCUGGAAGCAGACGUCACCAUCAGUGUGGAUGGAGUUCCUUUCCUCAUGAGGGACCACACCUUAAGACGGACCACAGACGUCAGUAAGGUCUUCCCCUCCAGAGAGCAUGAGGACGCGUCCUUCUUUAACUGGACAGAGAUUCACUCUUUAAAUGCAGGCCACUGGUUUUUGGAGAGCGACCCCUACUGGACGGUGAAAACCCUGAGCCCGAAGGAUCGCAGCCGGAUAGGAAACCUGACCAUUUGCAGCCUGGUAGAGAUGCUCCGUCUGGCAGCGAGGGCCAACAGCUCCGUGCUGCUCAACAUCCGCAAGCCCGCGCCGGAGCACCCGCGCUUCCGCAGCUGGUUCAUGGACACGUUGUGGACGCUGCAGAAAGCAGGGAUUUCCCAGAGAAAGGUGACAUGGGCCCCUGACACGGACAGAGGGAGGGUGCGAGGUCUUCUGCAGACAACAAAUGAGAAACUGUCAGUGGAGGAGAUAAGGCACCGAGGCAUUACAAGCCUCACCGUCCACUACAGAAAGAUCAGCUUCCAAGACAUUCAGGUUUACCUGGCUAACAACGUGAGCGUGACUGUCUACCCUGUGAAUGAGCCCUGGCUCUACUCCCUCCUGUGGUGUAGCGGGGUGCCUUCCGUGUCUUCUGACGCCCCUCAAGUUCUUCAAAAAGUGCCUUACCCCGUCUGGCUCAUGAGUCACAGUGCUUACAACUUCAUCUGGAUCUCUUCAGACCUCGUCUCUGUCGCUGUCAUCAUGGGGAUUUUCUUUUUCCAGAAGUACGUUCAUUUUCACAGAUGUGACAGCAUGUUCAAAAGCCUGCAGUCAGUCCUCUUUCUUCAACGUGUCAUUUAUUUCCAAAUAGACAGAUUUUCUUUCAAAGUGGUGUUGAUCCACCAUUCUCCAGCUUUGCUGAAGGUCUUUUUGGGUUGGCUUAUGAACAUUGCUUUCUACUCAAACCUACUGCUUUACCUGCUGUUGCUCACGGUGGAAAAUUUGUGAUUCUGUAGGUCUGUUGCCUUUACAGUUGCUGCUCUUUAAAUUAUCCGGAUAUUUUAAAUAAAAAUCUUGUGCCUGUUAUGUGGCCUGUUGUCGGUAAACCAUGCCUUUGCGAUUAACGGGUCUUUCAGCAGAUAAGUGAUCUGAGAGGGAAAGAACACAGAACUCUACCAUCUUUCAGGAGAAAUUUAUUCGACGGCAUAUGAGCAUUGCAGAUAGAAAAAAAAGGAGUAAAUUUAUACAAAAAACAAAACAUUUUUAAAUCCUCCAAAGAAAUUUUGAGCUGUAACUCAGACAUUUUCUAGAAAAAACCUUGGAGAUUUCUGCUUUUGCAAAGUUGAAAAUUUGCGAGAAAAAAACGUUCUAGAAAAAGCUAAAAAGUGUCACCGUUUUCAACUGUUGUUUUUUUUUUCUUGAAAAUUUUUGAGCCUCAUCUCAAAAUUUCUGUUUUUUGGCAGAAAUCUUCCCAUGUGUUGGUGUUGUUUUUUCUUAGCUGCCGUCGUAUGCCGCCGUAACGUCAGAUUUUCAGUGAAACCAUAACAUCUUCAUCGCGAUCCGGACGUUUGCUCACAGUGGUCAGAGUCUCUGACACAACAUUUUGUGAAACCAGGUUACAGAGUAGAACUUUUCGCAAACACGUUUUUCUUCUACAGACAACCUUGCAGGAUGUUCUACAUGCCUAGAGAAAGAAAACCGAUCGUCAAACGAAGACCGACUGUAGAGCGUUUAACUCGUAUAGAAAAUGUCCCGCCUUUGCAGUGUGGAUUAUUUCCCAAGAGCUGAAGUUUUGGAAGGCGUUUUUGUUCAGUGAACUUCCUGACUUUUACAGUCUUCUCUGACAUUUGCCUGGUUUGAAAUGUUCUUUACCACAUGGCUCUUUAGACUUGUCCUUAAUCUUAAUCCUGGGGAAAGCCAAAUGGAACUUGUGUCGUAAAGCAUAAAUGUUGUUUCGAUAACAUUUUUGGAGUUUUCAGUGACUUGUUUGUUGUCCAGACAGCACGUGUGUCGACCUGGACCCGAUUAAGGUUUUGUCCUCUGUAGCUCGUCAUUCUCAUCAUCACGUUGGUCGUCUUCGUCCUCUGUGCCGCCGCCUCUCACUGUCCUCCUGUCUUCUUCUCCUCUCAUGCUCUUUCCUUGUCCUGCGCUCUGCCUGAUCUGCAUUCAACCUUCCUCUGCUGCAUCUGUCAAGCUAUCAUAUGAUCAGGUGGAGGAUAAGCGGCAUGCAGAACUACAACCCGGAGCAGAUCAUGCUGAGCGCUGUGGCGCGACGGCCCAGUCGAGACGUCAACAUCAUGAAGGAGAA